ACGUCAUUGCUUUCACAUACCUGAACUAUCACAAAUGGGAGUCAUCGUUCGAUGUGUGUUGACAAAGAACGUUUAAAAUGCAUUGACGGUCUAGUUAAUUCAAUUCAGAAUUGUUUUUGGUUUACUCCAUUUGGAUAAAGAUUAAAACGGUCAGACGACAUGAAAUUCUUUCACUAUGUAGUCUUAUUUUUUAUGAUUGCAUCUGCUUUUGCAGCAUUGCCACCUCCACCAUGCUUCUAUUGGAAGAUUAUCAAAGGGCAUGCAGAAGCUGAGUGUAAAAAUGAUGGUGAUUUUAAGCCGAUUCAGUGUCAAUAUGGGAAAUGUCGCUGUGUGAACUUCUACGGCCAGCAACUCACUGAACCUCAAGAAGGAAUACCUGAUUGUUCAGGCACCGAUUAUCGAACGUACAUUAUUGGUUUAGAUUCUUAUUCAAGAAAAACUUUAUAAAUAAAGAAAUUAUACAAAAAUCUUGUAUUAUAUAAGUCUACAAUUUCAAUCUGGUCCGUUGAAAAUACUGUUGCAUCAACCGCAAAAUCUUA